rnacentral:rRNA from 1 species
UACGUAGGGUGCGAGCGUUAAUCGGAAUUACUGGGCGUCAAGCGUGCGCAGGCGGUUUUGUAAGACAGAUGUGACAUCCCCGGGCUUAACCUAGGAACUGCAUUUGUGACUGCAAGACUAGAGUGCGGGAGAGGGGGGUAGAAUUCCACGUGUAGCAGUGAAAUGCGUAGAUAUGUGGAGGAAUACCGAUGGCGAAGGCAGCCCCCUGGGUCGACACUGACGCUGAGGCGCGAAAGCGUGGGGAGCAAACAGG